GACGAACGCUGGCGGCGCGCCUAACACAUGCAAGUCGAACGGAGCUGAGAGGAGCUUGCUUUUCUUAGCUUAGUGGCGAACGGGUGAGUAACGCGUGAGUAACCUGCCCUGGAGUGGGGGACAACAGUUGGAAACGACUGCUAAUACCGCAUAAGCCCACGGUGCCGCAUGGCACUGCGGGAAAAGGAUUUAUUCGCUUCAGGAUGGACUCGCGUCCAAUUAGCUAGUUGGUGAGGUAACGGCCCACCAAGGCGACGAUUGGUAGCCGGACUGAGAGGUUGAACGGCCACAUUGGGACUGAGACACGGCCCAGACUCCUACGGGAGGCAGCAGUGGGGGAUAUUGCACAAUGGGGGAAACCCUGAUGCAGCGACGCCGCGUGGAGGAAGAAGGUUUUCGGAUUGUAAACUCCUGUCGUUAGGGACGAUAAUGACG
rnacentral:rRNA from 1 species